GAUGAACGCUGGCGGCGUGCCUAAUACAUGCAAGUCGAGCGAAUGGAUUAAGAGCUUGCUCUUAUGAAGUUAGCGGCGGACGGGUGAGUAACACGUGGGUAACCUGCCCAUAAGACUGGGAUAACUCCGGGAAACCGGGGCUAAUACCGGAUAACAUUUUGAACCGCAUGGUUCGAAAUUGAAAGGCGGCUUCGGAUGUCACUUACGGAUGGACCCGCGUCGCAUUAGCUAGUUGGUGAGGUAACGGCUAACCAAGGCAACGAUGCGUAGCCGACCUGAGAGGGUGAUCGGCCACACUGGGACUGAGACACGGCCCAGACUCCUACGGGAGGCAGCAGUAGGGAAUCUUCCGCAAUGGACGAAAGUCUGACGGAGCAACGCCGCGUGAGUGAUGAAGGCUUUCGGGUCGUAAAGCUCUGUUGUUAGGGAAGAACAAGUGCUAGUUGAAUAAGCUGGCACCUUGACGGUACCUAACCAGAAAGCCACGGCUAACUACGUGCCAGCAGCCGCGGUAA
rnacentral:rRNA from 1 species